GGGGCUGCUGAGCAUGUUUGAACCAGCUCCUCCUGCGCCUUGUUUAGGGGGUUCAGACAGGACUGAUCCUGCCCUGGGCAGGGGCUGGACUAGACGAGCCCUCCUGAAGGCCCUGCCAGCCCGGCUCUGCUAGGACUGUCUGAUCUGCAUGGCAUCCUACCCCAGCUUGCUGCAGACCCUGAAACGCCAUGCCCACGGCUCCUUGUGCCCAUCCAAGCCUUCAGCCAGUGUCCGUCCAUGGAGGGAAGAAGGACCCACUUGUUGUUAAUGGUUUGGAGCAGAAUCAGAUCAUGCUUGUAUACCUGAGGCCUUUUGUAGUCGGGGGAGGAGGGAGGGAAGGCAGGAUGUGGCCCAGGGUCCCUGCCCGACUGCCAUGUACAGGGCCUGGCACAAGCUGCUUUGUGAUGUAGCUCCCAUGUCACUCCAUCGCCACAGAGAUCAGGGAUGGGCAGGGAAUAAAUCCUAGGCCCCGGUGCUUUCUGGUCAGUCUCAGCGCAACCCGAGAGACUCAGCUAAGGUGUAGGGAGAGGUUUGUUUGUUUGAGAGAGUUUAGAGAUUAGAUUAGAUUAGAUAGAUUAGUAGCCAGUAGAGAGUUGUAGAGUUUAGAGAUACUAGAAUAGGUAGUAGUUAGGAGAGCAGGUAGAAGGAGGAGAUAAACUUUAGAUAGAUAGAGUUGAAUAGAUAGAAUAGGUAAUAGAUCUUAGUGAUGGUAGGUAGGGAAGAGCUCAGAUCCCCACGGCCUCGGGGUCUCAGCACUUGGGAGCUCGCUCCCAUCACUCUCCCAUUUCCAACCAGCUGCUCUGGCCCAGGCGGCAGGGAGAGACGGCCGAGGGACUGCCCAGUGCGGGUAAGGAGCCAGCAACACCUUGGGGGUUUGCAAGGAGGUGUGAAGCUGGCAUGGGCCCUCUGCAUACCCAGGCACGGGCUGAGCAGAGCUCUCCAGCUAGCAGUGAUGCUGUUGGCUCUUGCCAGGUGUGCUGGGGCUGCCUCUUGGUGAUGGGGUGGGUGGGAGCUCUGGGAAUAGGGCGCUGGGUCAGCACAGGCUUGGAAGGGCCUGAAAGGUUCCCCGUGGGUGCAGGGAGUGGCUUGCAGGCUGGUGGGGGGAAGAGAUGCCAAGGGGGCUUCUGCUGAGCAGCUCUUCUCCUCCGCCAGCUGCCCCGACUGCAGAUACCAGGAGGUUCUGGGGUGCAGCUGACCCCACAGCCUCCUCCUGGCACACUGUGGCCAACAAACAGACCGGUCUGGGUGCAGGCCCCCCUGCUGGUGCAUCCACCGUGCCAACGGGAAGAGGGGGAAGACGUGGGGACCAGUGAUGUGCGCAGGGGCAAGACCCAGAUACAAAUGAGACCUAGGGCAGUUGCUCCCUGAGUCAGACAGGCUGUGUCCUGUGCCAGGGCCCCCCAACAACAUGAAGCUGAGAGGUAACACUAGAGCCCGUCAUAAAAUCCUGCAUGGCCAGCAGACAAUCGGGUCAAGUGACUGGGGAGCAUUGUGGUGGCACCGUGGAGGUCCUGCUGGCCUCUCCUCCCAGGCCUGGAGCACUCUGCUCAGCCUGGAGCGCUGCCCCUGCCAGUGCCAAGCAGGAGACACAGGAAGGAAGAGCUGCGAGUUCAGCCCCAAGCCACCUAUGAUGCAGCUGAGGGAGAAGUGGAGGAAAUACCUGAAUCACCUGCCCCUCCGUGUCCAGCGCACGACGCCAGGACUGGAAGGAGUCGAUGACAAGAGCAAUCGCCGGCUCCUUCCUGCCGCAAGCAAUGGCCCCAGGUCCUGGUACUUGUCAGGCUCUGCCCCACGGCCCCAUCCCCUGCCCUCCACAGAGCGGUGCCACAUCCACCCUGCCCACGUGGGAGCCACACUGGCCUCUCAUCCCAUUGCCGGUUCGCGGUGAAUCUGCGCUGUGGGAACAGCGAUGUCGCCUUCCACUUCCACCUGCGCUGUGAUGAGAACGGCCCGUGGUCACAUGCAACAUGGAGCAGGGUGGGAGCUGCUGGAAGAGGAAGAGCGGGCCGACCCCGUGCCAUUCCAGCCGGGCGCCUGCCUUGUGAUGAUGGCGGGCGUCCAGAGUCAGUGCUACAAGUUCCAGGUGCAGGGGAGCCUGCCUGUCCCUUCCUGGACAGAGCGCAACCCUGCCAGGCCAUUUCCCACCACAGCCCGAUAAGCGGUCGGACUUGCUCUUCAUGGACACGGCCCUGCUCUGCCAGAAACUGUCUUCACACGCACUGACCCUGCUCUUCCAGGACAUUCCAUCACCACGGCCAUGACAGACAGCCCCUGCGUCCCCUCACGGACACAGCCCCGCUCGGCCAGGCUCAUCCCCCCCACAGCCUUCACUGGGUGCCUAUUGGUCCUUCAGUAGACACGGCCAUGCUGGGAGACCCUGCCCCAACACAGCCCUGACCAACUGCCGGUUGUCCCGCCUGUCCCCACACAGCUCAGUAAUCAAUCAAUCAAUCAAAUCAAAUUGGCACUGUCCUUUCUUUACAAAGCAUGGUGUAUGUGCCUAUGAAUUCUGUUAUGGCUGCCGAGUCCCAUGCACAAGUGACAGUCGAGCCCACAGGUAGGGCACAGCCAUGCACUAGCAAAGCAGUGCUCCGAUUCUUUCUUCCUCUGACACUGGUGAUCACAAAACUUGAUCCAGUCUGCCUCACAGCGCCUCACUGCAUCUGCAAGCUGACUCUGCCAACCAGAGUGGCCAUCCACACUCCUUUCCCAAGCCUCCACAGCAAAUCUAAAGGAUGCUAAGUCAUCUUUGCAAGCUUCCUGAAAUCUGCACAGCCGCCCGCCUCUUUUCUAGACCCUUCGUGAGCUUCAGAGGACAUCACAUUCCUUGGGACCCCGUGAUCCGGCAUUUACCUGAUAUGACCAAGCCACCUGAGUCUUUUCUUACUAAUAAACAUUCCCAUGGAUGACAUACUAGCAGGAUUUGACACUUCUUAAUCUGUCACCCUGUCUUGCCUUCUUAUUCAAAGAAUUUUAUGCAGGCAUCUGAUAUGAAAGCUGUUAAGUCUUUUGGUAUGUUUGGUGUACGUCAUCUAUGUUUUUGAGCUGUAUAGAAGAGUGGAUAAAACACAGGCCUCAUAUAUAUGUUUUCAUUUUAGUUCAGGGUUUGUUAAUGGUCCAGGUUCUGUCUUGCAAAAAAACAAAGUUCCUGGCUGCUUUGCUGAUCCUACUAGUGAGCUCAGCAUCAAGAUCUACAUUGCUGGGAACAGUCGAGCCAAGGGAGAAAAAUUGGUCAACAACAUCCAGACGAGUACCAUCUAGGAUGACAUCUGGAACCGGUUCUGAAAAGCCUUGGUGCACGAUAGCGGUCUUCUUCAAGCCCAAGGGUUUUGCAUGAGUCAGAGGACUUGGUAACGAGAUGUUGUGUAACCCUGGGUGUGACACUACAUGCGCCCUCACCUGAAUAAUGGGAUCCUGGGGUACCCGGUAACCAGUCGCCCUGCCCAGCCCCCCUGGGAAGCUGCUGCAGUGCCCCCGAGUGGAGAGCCUCCCCUUACAAUCAAGCACCCUUGCAGACAGUUCUCAAGCUAUUUACAGGAUUUAAUUAUUUACAACAUAACAAAUAAUCAUUAAAUAAGCAUAUGGAUA